UCUGGUGCGGUGACGUGGAAACGGUGACGUGUUAAGCUCCGGUGACGUGCAAGGUGUGUCGGCAGCCGCCAUGUUGAGAAGGUCUUCCUGAUCCCCUGCGCCUGCGCAGAUGGACCUAAUGGGAGGGGGAGGCGGCCGGCGCCAUUUUGGAGCGCCGCUCUUCGUUCUCCUCCUGCAGCCCGGCGGGGGUUCCCUCUUUCCGCCCGUUCCCCGUCGGCCUUCGGCGAGGCCCCGGCCCCGGCCCCGGCCCCGUGACUGGGAAGAAGAGGGGAGGCAUCGGCGACGGCAGGUGAGGGCUAGGAGAGUAGGCCCCAUCCACGACUGUUCAGAGGGAUCAGACGGAAAAAGAGGGAACAACAGAAGGAAAACCUUAAGCAGUGGAGAAGAACAAGAAGGGACCUUCUGCUUCCCAGCAGGGUGGCAUCUGUAAAACAAUAAUCUCAAAAAUAACAGGAGAAAGAAGUCCCUGCCCUGAGUACAGCAAAAUCUUCCGUUCGGAACCAAGCUUUCAAUCACAGUGGGAAAUGAACACAAGGGGGAAACCCCAUAAAUGCCUGGAGUGUGGAAAGAGCUUCAGUGUGAGUUCCCACCUCACUUCACAUCUAAGAACCCACACUGGAGAGAGACCAUAUAACUGCCUGGAGUGUGGAAAGAGCUUCAGCACGAGUGGAAAUCUUAAAAUCAGCAUCAAAGAACCCGCACUGUGUAGAAACCAUAUAUGUGUUCGGAGGAUGGAAAGAGCUCCAGCCACAACGGGAAUCCUACUAAACCUCAAAGUACCCACAGUGGAAAUAGUGACGGAAUGGGGAUUUCUGUUUUAGAAUUUCAAUUGGAAGUAAAGGAACCAUUUGCAGUUUGAAGGAUUUCAAUUAGCCAUUUUAUUUUAUAAUGGCCAUAUACGGUAAGCCCACUUCCAAAGGUGCCUCUUCUUGGCCCAGUUAGCAGGGAUGGUUCCACCAAAGGGCACCACCAGAGGGCCUGAAGAUGGUUCCCUGCCCCAAAGGGGCUUACAGUCUUGAAAGAGGCUGGGGGAAGGGGGGGCAGCAUCCCCAGCGCCCUCCACGUGGCUUCUUGUUGCUGAAACCAAGAGCAGGCCUGGCUGCAGCCCGCCCGCCCCCCCAGGCUCCCUGCCUGGCUCCUUCUGACUAGUAGGGCAGGACAGGGGGGCUACUAUGGCGGAAGCCACUGGAGAGCUGGUCAGCCUGUGUGCAAAUUAUUUCCACCACCUGAAAAGAAAGAGCCAUUGGAGGGAGGCUGUGCUGGGGACGGAUAGGGCCAGUGGCUCUCCCCCUACUAAAUGUCAGAGAAUCACCACUUUCAAAGGUGCCUCUUUCCCCUCAUUUAGCAGGGAAUGAGAAGUGCUUCAGUGUUCUUCUCUAUCAUGCCACAGUGAAGCCAUCCCAUCUCUCCCCUAGCCUGGCCCACCUCACAGGGAGAUUGUGAGGAUAAAAAAAUGAGAUAUCUCUUCCUAAGCAUAGGAAGGUACCUGUAUAAUUGUGCAUGAUAUGUUAAAACCAGCACAGUCUCCUUUCCCCCCAAAGGGAAAACACAUCAAGGAAGAAAUGGUUCACACGGAUGGUUCAGAAAUUUGUUCAGACGGAAAAAGAGAAGAACAGAGAAGCAAAACCUGCAGCAAAAGAGAAGAACAAGGAGAGACCUUCUGCUUCCCAGUUGGGUGACAUCUAUAAAACCAGAAUCCAAAAAACAAGAGGGAAAGAAGUCCCUGCCCUGCAAGCAGGAAAAACUUCAGUUCUGAACCAAGCUUUCAGCCUCAGUGCAAAAUGGACACAGGGAAGCAACCAUAUAAAUGCUUGGAGUGUGGUUUAGUGGGAGUGACUACCUCAAUUUACAUCAAAUGACUCACGCUGGAGAGAAACCUUUUAAAUGCUUGGAGUGUGGAAAGAGCUUCAGCAGGAGUGGAAAUCUUAAUUGGCAUCAAAGAACCCACACUGUGUAGAAACCAUAUACGUGCUCAGAGAGUGGAAAGAGCUUCAGCCAGAACGGGAAUCCUACUAAACCUCAAAGUACCCACAGUGGAAAUGGUGAAGAAAUGGGGAUUUCUGUUUUAGAAUUUCAAUUGGAAGUAAAGGAACCAUUUGCAAUUUGAAGGAUUUCAAUUAAAACAUUAGCCAUUU